rnacentral:misc_RNA from 1 species
AAAAUACCUAAGACAACGAUUCAUAGGUGUUUAAAAAAAAUGGGGAUGGUGUCAAAGUUGAACGUUUGGGUGCCCCAUGAACUUACGGAACGGAACCGUCUGGACCGAACGACAGCAUGCAAUGUCAUUACUUGCGCAUAAUAAACACGAGCCAUUCCUUAAACGCCUAGUAACUGGUGAUGAAAAAUGGAUACUUUACGAAAACCCUGAAUGGAAACGUAGCUGGUCCCAACGAAAUCAGCCAUCUCAACGCUGUGCAAAACCGGGGUUACAUCCACGUAAAGUUCUUUUGUGUGUAUGUUAGAAAAAUUAAGGGAAGCACUAGCUGAAAAACGACCAGGUUUAGUGAAUAGGAACAACGUUAUCUUCCAUCACGACAACGCUAGACCGCAUGUCGCGAAAAGCGUUACAAAAAAAUUGUCUGAAUUUAAUUGAGAAAUUUUACCACAUCCCCCAUAUUCCCCAGAAAUUUUCCCAUCUGAUUACCACCUGUUCAGAGCAUUACAACACUUUUUAGUAGGUAAAAAAUUCGAAAAUAUUGACAUUCUCAAAAAUAGCUUAGAAAAUUAUUUUAUAGAAAAACAAGAGAACUUUUAUCGAGACGGAAUAAUGGCCCUACCAGAAAAAUGGGAAGAAGUUGUACAACGAGAGGGGGAUUACAUUUUUUCAUGAAACUGAAAGGUAUGUAAACAAUCUUAACAUAUAUAACCGCUCGAAAAACGGCACGAACUUAUGGGAUGACCUAAUAUUUUCUUUCUUCCUUGAUGAUGACAUUAAACCAUUUUGAGUUUAAUAGCAAAACUGGCUUUAAUUUACUACAAAUUGAAUGCCGACAUGUGUAUAUGGUUUCACUGAAAUGUUGAUCUCAAGAAGAAAG